rnacentral:rRNA from 1 species
GGGGGUGCCUAAUACAUGCAGUCGAGCGCGGGAAGCAGGAGCAGAUCCUCUUCGGAGGUGACGCCUGUGGAACGAGCGGCGGACGGGUGAGUAACACGUGGGCAACCUGCCUGUAAGAUUGGGAUAACCCCGGGAAACCGGGGCUAAUACCGGAUAAUACUUUUCGUUGCAUAACGAGAAGUUGAAAGGCGGCUUUUAGCUGUCACUUACAGAUGGGCCCGCGGCGCAUUAGCUAGUUGGUAAGGUAACGGCUUACCAAGGCGACGAUGCGUAGCCGACCUGAGAGGGUGAUCGGCCACACUGGGACUGAGACACGGCCCAGACUCCUACGGGAGGCAGCAGUAGGGAAUCUUCCGCAAUGGACGAAAGUCUGACGGAGCAACGCCGCGUGAGUGAUGAAGGUUUUCGGAUCGUAAAACUCUGUUGUCAGGGAAGAACAAGUGCCGUUCAAAUAGGGCGGCACCUUGACGGUACCUGACCAGAAAGCCCCGGCUAACUACGUGCCAGCAGCCGCGGUAAUACGUAGGGGGCAAGCGUUGUCCGGAAUUAUUGGGCGUAAAGCGCGCGCAGGCGGUCCUUUAAGUCUGAUGUGAAAGCCCACGGCUUAACCGUGGAGGGCCAUUGGAAACUGGAGGACUUGAGUACAGAAGAGGAGAGUGGAAUUCCACGUGUAGCGGUGAAAUGCGUAGAGAUGUGGAGGAACACCAGUGGCGAAGGCGACUCUCUGGUCUGUAACUGACGCUGAGGUGCGAAAGCGUGGGGAGCGAACAGGAUUAGAUACCCUGGUAGUCCACGCCGUAAACGAUGAGUGCUAGGUGUUAGGGGGUUUCCGCCCCUUAGUGCUGAAGUUAACGCAUUAAGCACUCCGCCUGGGGAGUACGGCCGCAAGGCUGAAACUCAAAAGAAUUGACGGGGGCCCGCACAAGCGGUGGAGCAUGUGGUUUAAUUCGAAGCAACGCGAAGAACCUUACCAGGUCUUGACAUCCUCUGCCAAUCCUAGAAAAUAGGAUGUUCCCUUCGGGGACAGAAUGACAAGGUGGUGCAUGGUUGUCCUCACCUCCUGUCCUGAGAAGUUGGGUUAAAUCCCCCAACAAAGGCAACCCUUGGUUUUUAUUUGCCCCCAUUUUAUUUGGGGCCUCUUAAGGGGACUGCGCGGGGACAACCCCAAGAAAGGGGGGGGAGAACGGCCAAAAAUUUUUGGCCCCUUUUAGACUGGGGGUAAAACCCGGGUUACAAUUGGGUGAGGAACAAAGGAGGCGGCGAACCCGCCGGGGGGUGAGGAAAUCCCCUUAAAAACAUUUUCCCAUUCGGGAUUGGGAGGUGGGAAAUCCCCCUCGCCUUAAAACCGGAAAUCCUAUUUAAUUCCGGAAUAAGAUUGCCCGCGGGGAAAACUUUCCCGGGCCUUUUACACCCCGCGCGCCACACGAGAAAUUUGUAACCCCGAUUCUGUGGAACUUAGAGCGAUAGGG